ACUAAACAAAAGUUACAAAGUGAACUUGCAGUGCUUCCCUUAAGGGAGAUGUAGUUACAAUUCCAGCGCACUGGUCCACUCUCUCUCUCUCUCUCUUGGUGGUGUGAGACUUUCUACAACAGAAUGUCUAAAUGCCAUGAACGUCCCAUCACUGAACCAGGAGCCAUUAUCAAGAGGACUCUAAGGGAAGCCUCCUUCCAAUGAAUAUUCGGAAUGAUGUUUUCAUUUAUUAGGUUGAAGCAGUUGGUGUGCUUUAGAAAAUGAUUAUAGAGCAUUGGGUCUGGCAGCUCUGUAGAAAAACACGGAAGCAGCUGAAAGUGUUCCUCCCUCUGCUUGUAUGCUUCUGGAAGCCAUCAGAGGCCAUCCGUCAAACCAACCUGGCCUGUCUUCUGUUCUGUCACACAGGGCUGGAGCAUGUGGGCAGAAUUAAGGUGCCAGAGAUUCAGCUACUGGAAAAGAGAAGAUUAGAUUUGUUUUCUGACAACUUUGUUGAGAAUCUCCCUGGGAUUGGAGAGAUGGCUCAGCAGUUCAAAGCAUUGACUGCUCUUCCAGAGGAUGUGAGUUCACUCCCUAGCACCCACAUGAGAUUCACAACUGUCUGUGACUCUAGUUCCAAGGGUUUCUAUGCCCUCAUCAUCCUCCAGGCAUUCACAUGGUACAUAAACAUACAUGAAGGAAAACCACCCAUACACAUAAAUAAUAAGAGUGUUCACCUGUCCUCAUCACAAAUGGCACACCCUGACAGUUUCUGACUUACCC
rnacentral:lncRNA from 1 species